rnacentral:lncRNA from 1 species
UGUAAGAGAAUGACAUAGCUUUGCAACCAUAUCCUUCUCUCAUGUCCUUUUUUCUUAUCAGCUCUAGUUUCUGGCUUAUGGUCUACUAGGGGUGAAUUGGGUAAUAGAUACAUCCAUGAAGAGGAGCAUUUGGCUAGGGAGCAUCCCUGGUGAUAAAAACUAAGGCAAGAUCUUAGGCCUUAUCCCCUUAGCUACCUUUUGGGUCAUUUGAAGACAAAAAACAAGAGAGCUUUUUGGAGCAUAGAGUCUAUCUAUGACAAAUUUAAACAUUUAUGG